GGAAAAAAAAUUUGAUAGUCGGCCCGCCGCGUCUGUGGGAUGCCACCCAGCACCUGGCCUUGUGCAACUGUGAAAUCAUAGAAUCACAGAAUCAGUGAGGUUGGAAAAGAGCUCUGAGACCAUCGAGUCCAAUCUAUGACCGAACACCUCCCUGUCAACCAGACCAUGACACCAAGUGCCACAUCCAGCCUUUCCUUAACACCUCGGGGAGGGUGAGUCCACCACCAUCCUGGGCAGCCCAUUCCAGUGUCUCAUCACCCUUUCUGUGAAGGAAUUCCUCCUGACGUCCAACCUACAUCUAUGCUGGCACAAUUUAAGACCAUGUCCUCUUGUCCUGUCACCAUGGAAAAGAGGCCAACCCUCCCCCGGCUACAAGCUCCUUUCAGGGAGCUGUAGAGAGAAUAAGCAAUGUCUCUUUCAGUAUGUUUCUUGUCUCUGCUAACAAGCCUGACAAGAAAGCAUCACACAUCUUUGAAGAAAAGUGGAAAGAACAAAUCUCACUCUGGACAAGCCAGAAAGGAACUGGGACACCCCAGAACUCUGCACACAGCUUCCCAUGCAGAAGAAACCAAGGCCUGCAUCCACAGAGCAUGACCUCAGGUCCUGGCAUUUUCUCUGCAGCCUCCAGCAGAGUUUUUGUGUGAGAAAUUGUCUUACCUGUCCAUGUAGGUUAGGUAGCAUAUAUAUUUGUGGCUUGGAUGAGGCAGGAUGGGAUGACCAAUACUGUUGCAUGCUGUUCAUACAUGGGGACAGAAGUUGUUUUAUAUUUUCUUGUACAAAAGCUGCAUGUAGGGAAAGGACCAUCAUUUUGUGCUGUGCCUUUAUAGCAUCUGACCUACAGGAUCCUGGCCCAUGACCAAAGCCUGUAGGCACCAAACUAGUAAUAUGUAAUAAUAAUAUAUGGCACUGGCAUAAGCUCAACAUAGUUAAUGGACACCCAAGCUUAGUGUCCAGGCAAAUAAGCCUGGGGGGUUUCAGUUUGAGUUAGACACAAUACCCCACUCUCCCUCCAUACCAGGAAUGAGCUCUUAGGGAGAAAAACACUUAAAAAUACCAACUUUUAUGGAGACUUUGUUCAUUCCACAAAGAAAUCCAGAGAGUACUUGAUAAAAGUACUCACUUCAGUCUCAUAGAUUUAUCAAGAGAAUUGCUGAAAAGGGAAAGCCCUACAGGGAAAGAAUUCACUUUCCAAAAGUCAUUUGCAUCCAGCAACUACUAGAAAUUUGAUUGAGAGCUACUGAAUGUUAUUAGUUUUGAAAAUCCAGUUACUGCGUAUCCAAAACAUGAAUGCUUAGUUGUGAUCUUCUGGUGACACUUGGUCUUUAAAAAUUAUGGCCAAAGAAUAUGUGUGUGUGUGUCUAUAUAGAAGUACAUAUUUUUAAAUGCAUUUUGAGUUACCCAGAGAUAAACAGAAUAAAAAAUUGCUGAUACAUAGAUAUUACUGUAAUGUAAAUAUAUUCACCAUUUAAUCCUGAUAAAUACUGGAUUAUAGACUUCUGAA